rnacentral:rRNA from 1 species
GACGAACGCUGGCGGCGUGCUUAACACAUGCAAGUCGAACGGAAUUUAGUAAACAGAAGCCUCGGUGGAAGAUUACUAAUGAGAGUGGCGAACGGGUGAGUAACGCGUGAGCAACCUGCCUAUGACAGUGGGAUAGCCUCGGGAAACCGGGAUUAAUACCGCAUAAAAUCGUAGAAACACAUGUUUUAACGGUCAAAGAUUUAUCGGUCAUAGAUGGGCUCGCGUCUGAUUAGCUAGUUGGUGAGAUAACAGCCCACCAAGGCGACGAUCAGUAGCCGGUCUGAGAGGAUGAACGGCCACAUUGGAACUGAGACACGGUCCAAACUCCUACGGGAGGCAGCAGUGGGGAAUAUUGCACAAUGGGGGAAACCCUGAUGCAGCGACGCCGCGUGAACGAAGAAGGUAUUCGUAUCGUAAAGUUCUGUCCUAUGGGAAGAUAAUGACAGUACCAUAGAAGAAAGCUCCGGCUAAAUACGUGCCAGCAGCCGCGGUAAU